rnacentral:rRNA from 1 species
GAUGAACGCUAGCGGCAGGCUUAAUACAUGCAAGUCGAGGGCUCAGCAAUGGGACCGGCGCACGGGUGCGUAACACGUAUGCAACCUGCCUGUAUCUGGGGGAUAGCCCGAGGAAACUCGGAUUAAUACCGCAUACCACUGAGGGUCGGCAUCGAUUUUCAGUGAAAGAUUUAUCGCUUAAGGAUUGGCCCGNGUCCGAUUAGCUAGUUGGUGAGGUAAUGGCUCACCAAGGCGACGAUCGGUAGCUGGUUUGAGAGAAUGAUCAGCCACACUGGGACUGAGACACGGCCCCAGACUCCUACGGGAGGCAGCAGUGGGGAAUAUUGGACAAUGGGCGAAAGCCUGAUCCAGCCAUGCCGCGUGAGUGAAGAAGGCCUCGGUUGGUUAAAGUACGUCUUUCUACGAUGUGAAGAUGAUGAC